CGGGUGAGUAAUACAUCGGAACGUACCCAGUAGUGGGGGAUAGCUCGGCGAAAGCCGGAUUAAUACCGCAUACGACCUACGGGUGAAAGCGGGGGAUCGCAAGACCUCGCGCUAUUGGAGCGGCCGAUGUCGGAUUAGCUAGUUGGUGAGGUAAAGGCUCACCAAGGCUACGAUCCGUAGCUGGUCUGAGAGGACGACCAGCCACACUGGGACUGAGACACGGCCCAG
rnacentral:rRNA from 1 species